rnacentral:rRNA from 1 species
GUGUCAGCCGCCGCGGUAAUACGGAGGGUGCAAGCGUUGUUCGGAAUCACUGGGCGUAAAGGGCGCGUAGGCGGUCCCACAAGUCCGAUGUGAAAGCCCGGGGCUCAACCCCGGAAGUGCAUUGGAAACUGUGGGACUUGAGUUCGGGAGAGGAAGGCAGAAUUCCCGGUGUAGGGUUGAAAUCCGUAGAUAUCGGGAGGAAAACCGGUGGCGAAGGCGGCCUUCUGGAACGAAACUGACGCUGAGGCGCGAAAGCGUGGGGAGCAAACAGGAUUAGAAACCCCCGUAGUCC